GUUACUAUGUUGACUCACUCAGUGUUAGGAUCACUCACUUUCCCCCUACAGGACUCAGAUCUUGGAGGCAAUUGCUUUCAGAGAAAAACGAAUAGGAAAACUGAAGUGUUAUUUUUUUCAAAGCUGCUGAAGUUUAUUGGUUUCUCAUUCCUAAGCCUACUAGAGCAAUAAAGUUGGGAGAAAUUUUUACCAAGAUUUCUAUCGCUGCUUCGACAAAUACUUCUUUUUCCAAAUGCUUUGGUGGGAAGAAGUAGAGGACUGUUGUAAGUACAAAAUAAUUUUAAAAUAUCUUUAAUUGUAGCAUAAGU
rnacentral:lncRNA from 1 species